rnacentral:piRNA from 1 species
UGGAAUCCAUAUGAAGGUGUUCUGUCAACUUG